CAGUCGCCACGGUAAAACGGAGGGUGCAAGCGUUAUCCGGAUUUAUUGGGUUUAAAGGGUCCGUAGGCGGACUUAUAAGUCAGUGGUGAAAGCCUGUCGCUUAACGAUAGAACUGCCAUUGAUACUGUAAGUCUUGAGUAUAUUUGAGGUAGCUGGAAUAAGUAGUGUAGCGGUGAAAUGCAUAGAUAUUACUUAGAACACCAAUUGCGAAGGCAGGUUACCAAGAUAUAACUGACGCUGAGGGACGAAAGCGUGGGUAGCGAACAGGAUUAGAUACCCGAGUAGUCCCUGUCUCUUAUAA
rnacentral:rRNA from 1 species